UACGUAGGGCGCAAGCGUUGUCCGGAAUUAUUGGGCGUAAAGAGCUCGUAGGCGGUCUGUUACGUCUGCUGUGAAAACCCAGGGCUUAACCCUGGGCUUGCAGUGGAUACGGGCAGACUAGAGGCAGGUAGGGGGAGAAUGGAAUUCCCGGUGUAGCGGUGAAAAUGCGCAGAUAUCGGGAGGAACACCGGUGGCGAAGGCGGUUCUC
rnacentral:rRNA from 1 species